rnacentral:tRNA from 2 species
GGAGAGGUGGCUGAGUGGUUGAAGGCACCUGACUCGAAAUCAGACGUUGUCGAAAGGCAACCGAGGGUUCGAAUCCCUCCCUCUCCGCCA